GGGCGUAUAGCUCAGUUGGUUAGAGCGCGUCGCUGAUAACGACGAGGUCCCAGGUUCGAAUCCUGGUACGCCCACUA
rnacentral:tRNA from 1 species